UGGGGAAUAUUGCACAAUGGGCGCAAGCCUGAUGCAGCCAUGCCGCGUGUGUGAAGAAGGCCUUCGGGUUGUAAAGCACUUUCAGCGGGGAGGAAGGCGGUGAGGUUAAUAACCUCAUCGAUUGACGUUACCCGCAGAAGAAGCACCGGCUAACUCCGUGCCAGCAGCCGCGGUAAUACGGAGGGUGCAAGCGUUAAUCGGAAUUACUGGGCGUAAAGCGCACGCAGGCGGUCUGUCAAGUCGGAUGUGAAAUCCCCGGGCUCAACCUGGGAACUGCAUUCGAAACUGGCAGGCUAGAGUCUUGUAGAGGGGGGUAGAAUUCCAGGUGUAGCGGUGAAAUGCGUAGAGAUCUGGAGGAAUACCGGUGGCGAAGGCGGCCCCCUGGACAAAGACUGACGCUCAGGUGCGAAAGGGGGGGGAGCAAACAGG
rnacentral:rRNA from 1 species